ACGGCUCAGUUUACACGUGGAUAACCUGCCCUCAGGUCUGGCAUAACCCCGGGAAACUGGGGAUAAUUCCGGAUAACGCAUAUAUGCUGGAAUGCUUUAUGCGUCAAAGGUCCUCCGCCUGAGGAUGGGUCUGCGGCCUAUCAGGUAGUAGCGGGUGUAAUGUACCUGCUAGCCGACGACGGGUACGGGUUGUGAGAGCAAGAGCCCGGAGAUGGAUUCUGAGACAUGAAUCCAGGCCCUACGGGGCGCAGCAGGCGCGAAAACUUUACAAUGCGGGAAACCGUGAUAAGGGGACACCGAGUGCCAGCAACAUUUGCUGGCUGUCCAGGUGUGUAAACUACACCUGUUAGCAAGGGCCGGGCAAGACCGGUGCCAGCCGCCGCGGUAACACCGGCGGCCCGAGUGGUGAUCGUUAUUAUUGGGUCUAAAGGGUCCGUAGCCGGUUUAGUCAGUCCUCCGGGAAAUCUGUCAGCUCAACUGAUAGGCUAUCGGGGGAUACUGCUAGACUUGGAACCGGGAGAGGUAAGAGGUACUACAGGGGUAGGAGUGAAAUCUUGUAAUCCCUGUGGGACCACCUGUGGCGAAGGCGUCUUACCAGAACGGGUUCGACGGUGAGGGGCGAAAGCUGGGGGCACGAACCGGAUUAGAUACCCGGGUAGUCCCAGCCGUAAACGAUGCUCGCUAGGUGCCAUGCAUGGUGCGACCGUGUAUGGUGCCGUAGGGAAGCCGUGAAGCGAGCCACCUGGGAAGUACGGCCGCAAGGCUGAAACUUAAAGGAAUUGGCGGGGGAGCAC
rnacentral:rRNA from 1 species